rnacentral:rRNA from 1 species
GGAUUCCCCUAGUACUGGGAAUGAAUCGGGAACAGCUCAAAUUUCCUAUCUCCGUCGCCUGCGACGGCUAAUUGUAGUUUCGAGAAGCGCUUUCUAGGCGAUCCGGUGCCGUCCAAGUUGCUUGGAACAGCACGUCGCAGAGGGUGACAACCCCGUUCGCGGCGGACGCCGGACCCUUCCGAUUCUUUUUCCAUGAUUCGGGGUUGUUUGGGGAAUGCAGCCCAAAACGGGUGGUAAACUCCAUCUAAAGCUAAAUACUGGCACGAGACCGAUAGCGAACAAGUCCCGUGAGGGAAAGAUGAAAAGCACUUUGAAAAGAGAGUUAAAAAGUACGUGAAACCGUUAAAAGGGAAACGAAUGGGGUUAGCAAUGCGCCGCGCGAGAUUCAGACGGCGGACGGGCCGGGCGCGAGGUUCGCGGAUCCGAACGGACCGCGGCCGCGCGUGCUCCGGUCUAGCCGCCUUCGCACUUCUCGCCGGCGCGCGUCAGCGUCGGUUGGGGCUGGGUCUCAAAGGCGCCGGGAAGGUGGGUCCGACCCCUCGGGGACGGAUCGUUAUAGCCCGGCGUUCGCUCAUGGCUCGGCCCCGACCGAGGCGCCCUUCUACGCGGCGCGUGCCUCUUCUGGCUGGGGUCCCGUCGCGCCGGUCGGCGGUCGACUGCGGUGGACUGCAUGCAGUGCAUCGCGACCGCCGUCGGUCGCCGCGGCGGUGACCUCACACCACGCGCCCAGGACGCUGGCGGUCACAUGGCCUCAUCCAACCCGUCUUGAAACACGGACCAAGGAGUCUAACAUGUGAGCGAGUCUUGGAGUGACCGAAACUCGCCGGCGCAAUGAAAGUGAAGGCGGCCCUGGCGCCGCCGA